GUAGUUUGUUUAAGUGUGUCAACCAUCUUACUUAGGACAAGUAAAGUUGUAGCCUUGACUCAUCUGUGAACACGAUUGUUGGCCUUGUCGAUAAUGUCCGCAGAAAUUCUCCAUGCUUCUAGGAGUAAAGCAGAAGUUCUCUUCCACGGACUUCCGUUUAAUCCCUUUGAUAGGACAAAUAAUCUGGCAUUGUGGCGUAUUGCGGAGAUGUUUAUCGAAGGAUGCUUUAUUCCACAACAAUCAUCGGUAUUUGCAGAUCAAGUAGAUUUGUUUCGUGAUACGAAUAACAUGUUGUUCACGGUCGAUAUGUCGUAUAAACUUACCCAACAAAUCCAUCUCGUCACGAAAUAUGGAAAGUAAAAGAUUCUUGCAUC